CCUACGGGUGGCUGCAGUGAGGAAUAUUGGUCAAUGGACGAGAGUCUGAACCAGCCAAGUAGCGUGAAGGAUGACUGCCCUAUGGGUUGUAAACUUCUUUUAUAUGGGAAUAAAAUGUUCCACGUGUGGGAUUUUGUAUGUACCAUAUGAAUAAGGAUCGGCUAACUCCGUGCCAGCAGCCGCGGUAAUACGAAGGAUCCGAGCGUUAUCCGGAUUUAUUGGGUUUAAAGGGAGCGUAGGUGGAUUGUUAAGUCAGUUGUGAAAGUUUGCGGCUCAACCGUAAAAUUGCAGUUGAAACUGGCAGUCUUGAGUACAGUAGAGGUGGGCGGAAUUCGUGGUGUAGCGGUGAAAUGCUUAGAUAUCACGAAGAACUCCGAUUGCGAAGGCAGUUCACUGGACUGCAACUGACACUGAGGCUCGAAAGUGUGGGUAUCAAACAGGAAUAGAUACCCGAGUAGUC
rnacentral:rRNA from 1 species